rnacentral:lncRNA from 1 species
CAUUUCAUCGCCAGAAUCUUAGUCGAUGGACGUUCCAGUCUCAACAUCUGUCCAUUGAUCACCCUCAAGAAGUUAGGCAAAGGAUUACACAAUAUAUAAGACGGGGCUAUUAAUGUUAAGUCUUUUGACGAUUCUCCGAGGUCCACUCUUGGGGAGAUUAGCCUGUGUUUACAAAUGGGGCCCAUUUGGUUUGAUGUUAAU